CUCCCAGCACACCUCACGGGCCCACGUCCGCCAGGACUACAAUUCCCGGCGUCCUCCGGAAGCUCAAGUGUACCCAGGCGCGGUGCCUGCUGGGAAUUGUAGUUGACGUUGGUCAGCACGGAGGCCACAGGAUCCCAGCCCGGCCUUUGUGGGACUGAGGUGGCGCUGAGUGGGAGAGCAGCAGGCGAUGCGCGAAAGGCGGGACUUGGAGGUUCUGGAUGUUCCUAUGGAUAACCUCAAGGAGCACAGGACCUGGGACAUGACUGCCCCCAGCAUUCCUUCUGGUGGCAGACAGAGUUUGUCAGUUCGCCAGCAUCCUGCUUUCAUGAGAACAGUUUGCUGUUUGCUCACAGAGCCUCCAGUGGUAUACUGAGUUGGUCACGACCCUCAUUCCUUUGGCCUCCAACAUCUCCCCUUUUGUUUUUGCAUUAAUUGAAUAAAGGUAAUUUCAGGCUGUGCAGCUUUCAA